CACGUAGGGUGCGAGCGUUGUCCGGAGUUACUGGGCGUAAAGGGCGUGUAGGCGGUUCAUUUUGUCCGUGGUGAAAGCCCCCGGCUCAACCGGGGAGGGUCCGCGGAGACGGGUGAACUGGAGCUCGCGAGAGGUGGGUGGAAUUCCCGGUGUAGUGGUGAAAUGCGUAGAGAUCGGGAGGAACACCGGUGGCGAAGGCGGCCCACUGGCGCGAUGCUGACGCUGAGGCGCGAAGGCGCGGGGAGCGAACGGG
rnacentral:rRNA from 1 species